rnacentral:rRNA from 1 species
GACGAACGCUGGCGGCGUGCUUAACACAUGCCAGUCGAACGGAAAGGCCCUGCUUUUGUGGGGUGCUCGAGUGGCGAACGGGUGAGUAACACGUGAGUAACCUGCCCUUGACUUUGGGAUAACUUCAGGAAACUGGGGCUAAUACCGGAUAGGAGCUCCUGCUGCAUGGUGGGGGUUGGAAAGUUUCGGCGGUUGGGGAUGGACUCGCGGCUUAUCAGCUUGUUGGUGGGGUAGUGGCUUACCAAGGCUUUGACGGGUAGCCGGCCUGGGAGGGUGAACGGGCACAAUGGGACUGCGGUACGGCCCAGACGCCUACGGGAGGCAGCAGGGGGGAAUAUUGCACAAUGGGCGGAAGCCUGAGGCAGCAACGCCGCGUGCGGGAUGACGGCCUUCGGGUUGUAAACCGCUUUCGCCUGUGACGAAGCGUGAGUGACGGUAAUGGGUAAAGAAGCACCGGCUAACUACGUG